rnacentral:rRNA from 1 species
GACGAACGCUGGCGGCGUGCUUAACACAUGCAAGUCGAACGGAAAGGCCUGCUUUCCCUUGUGGAUUGCGGGUACUCGCGUGGCGAACGGGUGAGUAACACGUGAGUGAUCUGCCCCCAACUUGGGUAUAAGCCUGGGAAACUGGGUCUAAUUCCCGAUAGGACUGCAGGGUGGUGCCUGUGGUGGAAAACGAUUUUCUAGUGGUUGGGGAUGAGCUCGCGGCCUAUCAGCUUGUUGGUGGGGUAAUGGCCUACCAAGGCGGCGACGGGUAGCCGGCCUGAGAGGGUGGACGGCCACAUUGGGACUGAGAUACGGCCCAGACGCCUACGGGAGGCAGCAGUGGGGAAUAUUGCACAAUGGGCGGAAGCCUGAUGCAGCGACGCCGCGUGGGGGAUGACGGCCUUCGGGUUGUAAACUCCUUUCGACCGCGAGGAAGCCACCUGGUUGGAAGGGUGGUGACGGUAGUGGUAGAAGAAGCACCGGCUAACUACGUG